rnacentral:rRNA from 1 species
UACGUAGGAGGCAAGCGUUGUCCGGAAUUACUGGGUGUAAAGCGCGUGUAGGCGGCAGGCCAAGUCUGUGGUGAAAUCGCUCGGCUCAACUGGGCGGGGUCCAUGGAAACUGGUCAGCUGGAGGACGGUAGAGGUGAGUGGAAUUCCCGGUGUAGUGGUGAAAUGCGUAGAGAUGGGAGGAACACCCGUGGCGAAGGCGGCUCCUGGACCAAUCUGACGAUCAGGUGCGAAAGCGUGGGAGCA